AGCAGUCGCCACGGGAAUACAGAGGGUGCGAGCGUUAAUCGGAUUUACUGGGCGUAAAGCGUGCGUAGGCGGCUUCUUAAGUCGGAUGUGAAAUCCCUGAGCUUAACUUAGGAAUUGCAUUCGAUACUGGGAAGCUAGAGUAUGGGAGAGGAUGGUAGAAUUCCAGGUGUAGCGGUGAAAUGCGUAGAGAUCUGGAGGAAUACCGAUGGCGAAGGCAGCCAUCUGGCCUAAUACUGACGCUGAGGUACGAAAGCAUGGGGAGCAAACAGGAUUAGAUACCCGGGUAGUCCCUGUCUCUUAUAC
rnacentral:rRNA from 1 species